rnacentral:antisense_RNA from 1 species
CUUCACCGAGCCCAGCCACAGCGGGUUCUCGCGGCCCUUGCCGUAGGUGGAGAUCAGCGCGUGCGCCUC